rnacentral:rRNA from 1 species
GAUGAACGCUGGCGGCGUGCUUAACACAUGCAAGUCGAACGGGAAUUACUUUAUUGAAACUUCGGUCGAUUUAAUUUAAUUCUAGUGGCGGACGGGUGAGUAACGCGUGGGUAACCUGCCUUUACCAGGGGAUAACAGUUAGAAAAGACUGCUUAUUCCGCAUAAGCGCCAAGAAGCGCCUGGGUCAGUGCGAAAAAAUCCGGGGGUAUAAGAGGGGCCCGCGUUGGAUUAGCUAGUUGGUGAGGUAACUGCCCACCAAGGCGACGAACCAUCGCCGGGCUGAGAGGGUGAACGGCCACAUUGGGACUGAGAAACGGCCCAGACGCCUACGGGAGGCAGCAGUGGGGAAUAUUGCACAAUGGGGGAAACCCUGAUGCGGCGACGCCGCGUGAAGGAAGAAGUAUCUCGGUAUGUAAACUUCUAUCAGCAGGGAAGAAUUAGGACGGUACCUGACUAAGAAGCCCCGGCUAACUACGUGCCAGCCGCCGCUGUAAAAC